rnacentral:lncRNA from 1 species
CUCCAUUCUGCCCCCUCCUUUCUUCGGCAGGUAGGCUCGCCAGCUCCGUCCCGUUCCUCCGUGCCACCCUCUCUUUCCACCGGCAAGUAGGCCGCCGCCAUCCCCUUCCUCCGGCGAGCAGGUGGAGCAGCGCCGACUUCCUCCCUAUCCUCCUCCGACCAGCACCAUUUCGGAGAAAACACCAGAACCCGAAAGAAAAAAAAGAAAGGAAAAAAGAGCACAUCCAGAAAGGAAAAACCACAGGAUGUAUAAGCCAGUUGCAGAGACCGACUACAGGA